GCAGCCAAUUUAAUACAAUAUAUUUGGAUGACAAAUAUAUAAAAUAAAUGUUAAUGUUAUAAAACGACCCAUUUUAUACACAUUUGUGAGCUUUAUAUUUUCAGCACUAACAUGGAGGUAUUAUCUCACACAUAAAGGUCCUGUCUUAUUUCUGCAGCCACCCUGGGACAAAGCGGUCCUACAUGUGGCUUGAUUUCCCAGCCUGUGAUAUUCAACAUUUCUGCACAUAUCUGCGUCUCUUUCUCACGCUCUCUCUCCGCUCCCCGGCUCCUCGCACACGCAUGCGUCAAUCGGCAGCUUGUAACGAGAAGAUGUCCAUCCACCUUGCUUGAAAUUAUCGUUGCAAAAAAGAGAAAAUAUUAAUAAAAUCGGGAGAAAAAUCCUCCUCAGCCGGACAGAACAAUGCGACCCCACAGAUUUUUUUUUUUUACAAGCGCUGAUGGGAUGCCUGCAAAAAGAAAGAGAUCUCCUCACAUCCCCAGUCAGACGGCGGACUCUGAUGUUCAUCUGCAGCCGUGAGAACUACCCGUGUGUCCACUGAGUCUGGGGCCUGAAGUUCAAGUUGCGGUGCACAGCUCCCAUGAGUCAGACUUUUGCAUCCUGAAAUAUGAUGCAGAGAAAACCUCAGGUGGACAAACAGCUGCUGGUGACGCCCGAGCUGGGCUGUAGGUACUGGGAGAUCAAAAACAGCGACAGCGCAAAACUACCGUAAUGAAAAAGAGACAGUUACAGAAUGUGAAAGCGUUUGAACCCAGGCCGACUGACGGAGAGAAAAAAAACCCCACAAUUCUACAAAUCUGUAUCAGUGAAUGAUUAAUUAAUUUUUGUUGAAUGAUCUAUUCUAGCCUUGUGAGAUAUCAGUCUUCAUUUCUUUUUGCACUUUUACAGAAGAUCUCAAGAGACGGCUAGUUCAAAAGACGGUUCAAUUUAGAGUUCCCACUGGAAAUGGUUUCAGAAAGUCUCUGCUAUACGUUGGGCUUUGAUGUGUCUUAAAUGUCGUAAUCUUACUGUUCGGAGAUGGGGAAUAAAUUCUGUUAAUUCUU